GGAGUUCAUUGAGGACUCUGCUUCCACUCCUUCUCUUAACCAGGAAUCUAGAGAAUGACAUGAAUUAUUGCUUUGGAAGAAAACCUCGCAUCUCCACAAGACCUUGCUUCCCAAAUAAGACAUGUCAGAUGAUGUUGAUAAUCCUCACUUCUGCCUUACAAAUCACUCAUAGGUGCAUCUGCAGGAUCUUACUUGCAUCCAGAGUGCUAGCUGCAAAAGUUUCUGGGAAUUGUACACUUAACUCUGAAGUUUUAUCUUUAAUAUAGGAAGUGCCGCGUAUGAUGCUGUCCUUGACAGAAAUGUGGCCAUUAAGAAGCUCAGCAGACCCUUUCAGAACCAAACACAUGCCAAGAGAGCGUACCGGGAGCUGGUCCUCAUGAAGUGUGUGAACCAUAAAAACAUUAUUAGUUUAUUAAAUGUCUUCACACCCCAGAAAACGCUGGAGGAGUUCCAAGAUGUUUACUUAGUAAUGGAACUGAUGGAUGCCAACUUAUGUCAAGUGAUUCAGAUGGAAUUAGACCACGAGCGAAUGUCUUACCUGCUGUACCAAAUGUUGUGUGGCAUUAAGCACCUCCAUUCUGCUGGAAUUAUUCACAGGGAUUUAAAACCAAGUAACAUUGUAGUCAAGUCUGAUUGCACAUUGAAAAUCCUGGACUUUGGACUGGCCAGGACAGCAGGCACAAGCUUCAUGAUGACUCCAUAUGUGGUGACACGUUAUUACAGAGCCCCUGAGGUCAUCCUGGGGAUGGGCUACAAGGAGAACGUGGAUAUAUGGUCUGUGGGAUGCAUUAUGGGAGAAAUGGUUCGCCACAAAAUCCUCUUUCCAGGAAGGGACUGUAUCCUUGUACCUUUUGCUACAGCUUUACCUGUUUUGUUCUCUCUCCCUUUUAAACACAUAAUGAUUUUACCAGGAGAGUAAAGAUAGAAGCAAAAAGUUGGGACUUCCUACCAACAACUAAGCAGUCAGAUAACCUCUCAAACUAUGACUAUCAGACACAAGGCUGAGGGCUGAUUCAAGUUAUUUAUCGGCAGAAGAAUUACACAAUUUUAAGCA
rnacentral:sRNA from 1 species